GGAGGAAGCACUAUACAUGGGUGAAAGAAGCAUCAGUAGCAGUGCAGAAGAGGACUGAUGAAGACUCCAAAGACAGUGGUCCUACGGCCCUGCAGAUGACUGAUGCUGUCCAGCUUAAAAGACGGAUGCUCAGAAGAUCAGACUUUUCAUGACAACGAGUCACAUCUGCCCCUGGCAAGACCAAUUACUUCAAGAGGAUGAUGGGCACAGAAGAGGCUCCUCAUGGAGUUGGUUAUCCAUU